GAUGAACGCUGGCGGCGUGCCUAAUACAUGCAAGGUCGAACGGAGAGUAUGCUUUCGGGUGUGCUCUUAGUGGCGAACGGGUGAGUAACGCGUUGGUGACCUGCCCCGAAGCGAGGGAUAACAGUUCGAAAGGAUUGCUAAUACCUCAUGUUGUCACUGGGAUUAGAUGCCCGGUGAUCAAAGGAUUUAUUCACUUCGGGAGGGGCCUGCGUCCCAUCAGCUAGUUGGUAAGGUAACGGCUUACCAAGGCUAUGACGGGUAGGGGACCUGAGAGGGUGGCCCCCCACAAUGGAACUGAAACACGGUCCAUACACCUACGGGUGGCAGCAGUAGGGAAUAUUGGUAAUGUGCGAAAGCGCGAACCAGCAACGCCGCGUGUGCGAUGAAGGCCUUCGGGUUGUAAAGCACUUUUAGAGAGGAUGAGGAAGGACAGUACUCUCUGAAUAAGCCUCGGCUAACUACGUG
rnacentral:rRNA from 1 species